rnacentral:rRNA from 1 species
UAAUUGAAGAGUUUGAUCAUGGCUCAGAUUGAACGCUGGCGGCAGGCCUAACACAUGCAAGUCGAGCGGUAACAGGGGAAGCUUGCUUCUCGCUGACGAGCGGCGGACGGGUGAGUAAUGUAUGGGGAUCUGCCCGAUAGAGGGGGAUAACUACUGGAAACGGUAGCUAAUACCGCAUAAUCUCUCAGGAGCAAAGCAGGGGAACUUCGGUCCUUGCGCUAUCGGAUGAACCCAUAUGGGAUUAGCUAGUAGGUGAGGUAAUGGCUCACCUAGGCGACGAUCCCUAGCUGGUCUGAGAGGAUGAUCAGCCACACUGGGACUGAGACACGGCCCAGACUCCUACGGGAGGCAGCAGUGGGGAAUAUUGCACAAUGGGCGCAAGCCUGAUGCAGCCAUGCCGCGUGUAUGAAGAAGGCCCUAGGGUUGUAAAGUACUUUCAGUCGGGAGGAAGGCG